rnacentral:lncRNA from 1 species
CUUGGAUCCUGCGUUGCUGUGGCUGUGGCAUAGGCCCGCAGUUGUAGCUCCAAUUCGACCCCUAGCCUGGGAACUUCCAUAUGCCACAAGUACAGCCCUAAAAAGACAAAAACAAAAGCAAAAACAAAAAACUUGGAUAAUGUGAUAAAUACUUUCAUAAUAAUAAUUUUUAUCAUGUUUAUCAAGGUAGACACUUUGCUAUAUACCUUUACUAGCUUUUUUAUUUGAAAAGGAAAGGAAAUAGAAGGAUAUAUAGUUCAUUUUGAUAUAUGUUUGACUAUGUCUAAAAUCCUUUAGCCCCAGCUCCUUUUUAGGUCCAGAAAAGGACCAGGACAGGCCUUGCCACCCACAUCAGCUUCCAUCCCCAUCAGCUCUUCCUCCACUAAUUCACCCACAUGGAACAGGGACUUCUAGAGACUUCGUGAACGUCCCGUCCCCCAUGCCUUUCCUUUGUGUGGAAGCCACCGAUCUCCUGUUUCUCCUUGCUCUUUGUUAUUGCAAAAAUCUGCAGGGGAUUUGGACAUUGGGCCCAACAUAACUUUUUCUUCGAUUUUCUGCCUGGUCCUCCACUGCAUCUCGACUGGCCAGCCCCUCACCUCAGCUCACAGAGAGAAGGGAUUUGACAGGGUGUGACACCAUCUCUGUUUUAACAAGAUGUCCAGCUCUGACAUCAAAAGACUGGAUUCUCCAGACAUUAUUUUUCCCUAGUGACAUUCAGCCGGGAUGACCUUGAAAUAAAGGUUACCGUCUGGGUAUUGGGUAUUAUCACAGGUGGGAGCACAGACAGAGGAUGACUUGGAAUAGGUAAGGCUUCCUUAGAUCCAUAGCUCUGGCCCAUCAAUGGACAGCUUAGCAGAUUGUCAGCCCCUUGGGAGAGGAGCUGUGAUCUGUUCAUAGUUAGACUCCCAUAUGUCUAGGCAUUUCCUAAUUCCUCAGUUUAUCUUCCUUAAUGAAUGGCUGUCUGUUUGUCAGCAUAAUUACAAAUAGAAUUUCUUUGAUUUGACUUCUCUCUAAUUUGGUUGGUGAACAUUUUCUGAGAACCAAGCAACAGUUCAUUAGAUCAUUAGAAAACAAGAGUGGAAUUUUACCCUCGAAAACUCCAUGCCUCAGGAAAGCAAGAAUGUUCCAUUAUGGCUCAUUCAUAGCAAUGAGGGAUCCGAAUUGCAUCUGCGACCUACACCAUAGCUCAUGGCAACGCCGAAUCCCUGACCCACUAAGCAAGGCCUGGGAUUAAACCUGCAUCAUCAUGGAUACUAGUUGGAUUCAUUUUUGCUGCUCCACAACAGGAGUGCCUGGUGUUUUAUUUUUUGAGUUAAUUGCCAGCAUUUAUAAAAAAUAGAUUUCAUAUAAAAUAUGUAAAUAUCAGAUUGCCAGCUUUCUCUGAAAAAUGGGAAGUCUGACUGUAUUUGAGUUUGGAUUUUUCUCGACGUUUGACUGACCCUUAUUUCACUGGGGUAUUGAAAGUACCGUGGUCCUGAGUACCACCUGUCACACUGCCAGCAAGGAAACUGAGUGCCAUUGGCCAUUCAUCCAGUACUGAGAGCAAACCUAACCAUCUCCAUGUUUGUCUGACCUGCCUGGUCCCUGCAGGAUUUAAAUGUGCAACUCCUCGCUCAGAAGCAGUGAGUUUACAGGUUUUAGAUGAUAACUGUGAUGUUUAGAUAUUCAGUUUUGUAGCUAUAAAAUAUUUCAAUACAAAGGCGUUUUAAAACCCAUGAAUAAACAUAAACUCAUUUUCUUCAUCUCUACAUCUUCAGUGAUCGAUUUCUGCACAUAUCACAUCUUAUUUUUAACACCACAUUGCCAUGGAAAUUCACUGCUGUACUUUUCACUUCCCAGCUCUACUAAAUUUUAACAUUUUCGAAGCUGCUUGUACAAUGUGCAGAUUUAGUGUAGCAGCAAUCUCAAGUGGUUUUGUAACAUUAAAUAUUAAACAACUUUAAAACAGCAAACAAGGGGAAAAUAAGAAGUCAGCCAAAUUCUGACACAUAAAUUUAAUAAAGGAGCAACAGAGAGUUUCUCAUUGAUGUGACCUACCGCCUAACCUCUUUAGUAGAAUGAAGGGCUCCUCCAUCCAUGUAUCUUCAAAUCUCAUAUAAAAUGCCUGUCCUUUUAAAGUCAUUGUGCAGUCUAGUGGUGUGUCUAGCCAUUGGCACUGACCGAUACAGUUACUCACAAAACUUAAUUCAGAAAUCAUUUAUGGGGUAUCUGUUAUAUUUUUAUCUGGCUAGAUAAAAAUGGUAAAGAUAGUUAAGAGUUAUUGAACACUUGUCAUGCGUCAAAAUGCUAUUCUGUGCACUUUACAAGUAUUGUCUCAUUAAAUCCUCGCUCUUUGAAGUAGAUACUGUCUUCAUUUUAUAGAUGAGGUGAUAGAGUCACAGGGAGUGCCCAAGCUCACAAAAAUUGUUUGAAAAUGAUAGAUCCACUAUUCUAGCCCAGAUGAUGUGAACACAUCCUCCCGAAUGUUAGUCCUGGGUACAGUUAAGGCACAAAUCUUGCACUCAGAACCAAAACUCCAACUGGUUGUUGGUUUCUUAAAUGAUAACUAUAAUAUAGAACUAUAUAGUAUAUUAUGGAACUAUAAUACAGAACAGUAUAUUAUGGAGACAAGUACUUCUGCCUUGGGGGUGGAGACCAGGGGAAAUUUCAGGAAGGUCAUGACAAGUUGAGUUGGAUAAAGAGGAAAUGAAGUCCCAGGAGGAGAGAAAGGUAUGAGCAAACAUACUGAGGCAUAAAGGUGAAUGGGCUUGUAUGAGGGUGGAAGGCACCUGAUGACUGGGAGAUAAUAUUUGUAAGCAAUACAUGGAAACAAGCAUAUAUUCAUUAUUUACAAACUUAGG